UCCCUCAUGGUACCCAUCCUUCAGAGAAGCAGCUGAGACCAAGACCUACAAAUCCAAGCUACUUCUCUCUGGAAGAUAAGAGAGCUACCUCCUCAGGACCAAGAAAAGAAAAACAGCAUGCUACUCUAUAGAGUCCCCAGGAGCAAGACUGGCUGUUCCUGAAGCCAAGGAGCCUUUAUGCUGGCAAGGCCUGCCAUCUGAUGGGCAGGAGGCAAAACGACGUUCUGACUCUCUUGAGGGUGCUGUGGAGGCUCCUCACCAGCUGGCACCUUCUGCCCUGGGCAGACAGAUCAUACUACUCAGGCUUUUAUGAGUGAGAAG
rnacentral:lncRNA from 1 species